GAUGAACGCUAGCGGCAGGCCUAAUACAUGCAAGUCGAACGGUGUCUUCGGACAUAGUGGCGCACGGGUGCGUAACACGUAUGCAACCUACCUUACAUUGGGGGAUAGCCUUUCGAAAGGGAGAUUAAUACCGCAUAAGACAGUAGCUGGGCAUCCAGCAGCUGUUAAAGAUUUAUCGAUGUAAGCUGGGCAUGCGUCCAAUUAGCUAGUUGGUGAGGUAACGGCUCACCAAGGCAAUGAUUGGUAGAGGAACUGAGAGGUCAAUCCCCCACACUGGCACUGAGAUACGGGCCAGACUCCUACGGGAGGCAGCAGUAGGGAAUAUUGGGCAAUGGACGCAAGUCUGACCCAGCCAUGCCGCGUGCAGGAUGAAGGCGUUAUGCGUUGUAAAUUGCUUUUAUACAGGAAGAAACGACUCUUGCGAGAGGCAUUGACGGUACUGUAUGAAUAAGCACCGGCUAACUCCGUGCCAGCCGCCGCCGUAAGAC
rnacentral:rRNA from 1 species